AGGAUAAACGCUGGCGGCGUGCAUGAGACAUGCAAGUCAAACGGGCGAGCUUGCUCGCUAGUGGCGGACGGCUGAGUAACGCGUAGGUGACCUGCCCCGAAGUGGGGAAUAACUGCCCGAAAGGGUGGCUAAUACCGCAUGUGGUGGUUCGUUCAUUCGAGCUUCCAAAGCAGCGAUGCGCUUCGGGAGGGGCCUGCGUCCGAUUAGCUCGUUGGUGGGGUAACGGCUCACCAAGGCGACGAUCGGUAGGUGGUCUGAGAGGACGAUCACCCAGACUGGGACUGAGACACGGCCCAGACUCCUACGGGAGGCAGCAGUCGGGAAUUUUGCGCAAUGGACGAAAGUCUGACGCAGCAACGCCGCGUGAGGGAUGAAGGCCUUCGGGUUGUAAACCUCUUUUCUCAGGGACGAUAGUGACGGUACCUGAGGAAUAAGUCACGGCUAACUACGCGCCAGCAGCCGC
rnacentral:rRNA from 1 species